AUUGAACGCUGGCGGCAUGCCUUACACAUGCAAGUCGAACGGUAACAGGUCUUCGGAUGCUGACGAGUGGCGAACGGGUGAGUAAUACAUCGGAACGUGCCUAGUAGUGGGGGAUAACUACUCGAAAGAGUGGCUAAUACGGCAUGAGAUCUACGGAUGAAAGCAGGGGAUCGCAAGACUUUGUGCUACGAGAGCGGCCGAUGGCAGAUUAGGUAGUUGGUGGGAUAAAAGCGUACCAAGCCGACGAUCUGUAGCUGGUCUGAGAGGACGAUCAGCCACACUGGGACUGAGACACGGCCCAGACUCCUACGGGAGGCAGCAGUGGGGAAUUUUGGACAAUGGGCGAAAGCCUGAUCCAGCAAUGCCGCGUGCAGGAUGAAGGCCUUCGGGUUGUAAACUGCUUUUGUACGGAACGAAAAGCUCUGGGUUAAUACCCUGGGGUCAUGACGGUACCGUAAGAAUAAGCACCGGCUAACUACGUGCCAGCCGCCGCGGUAA
rnacentral:rRNA from 1 species